rnacentral:lncRNA from 1 species
GCUUAGUAAGUUUACAAGUAAAUAAAUGACAUCAUUUAACAUAAAUAAGGAUAUGCAAGUAUCAUGUUCUUAAGUUUUCUCUUUACUUACUCUCAUUUACUUGUUUAUUUACUUACCUACUUAGAUAGCUUAAGAUUUCAACUUACUCUUCUCUUGCUGAAAUAUUGGUUCUCACUGAUAACAUAAUAUAUAUUCUUAACUCUUAUAACUUACUUGAAGUUGCUAAUUAUACUUUUACUUGAACUUCCAUAGAACAUAAUCUGUUUUCUAGCC